rnacentral:lncRNA from 1 species
GGGGGGACGCCCAAACCACAUCAGUUUGGCAAUAGGUACUGGUCAGAGCCGGAGACCAGGAUGACCCUGCGCCCUCCGCUGAGGUGUAGAGUGACCAGCGAGGGGAACUCCAGGGUAAAACAGAGUGGCAACCCCUAAGGACCUGGGGGACAAACAGCACAAAGAUCCUUUAAUGAAGCAUUUUCAGAGCUUAGGAUAUUUCCAACAAAAUAUUUUCCCCAAAAGAUGUCUUUAAUAAUACUGGAUGCGUUGAUUUUAAGAGGGUCCUAAAGAGACACGUUUGAGUCACCGGUCUCUCUCCCGUGUACUGGUAUUUUCAAUACAUAAUGUCUGGAGCAGAGCAUGGAAAUGGCCUGAAAAUAGCCUCUCCUUUGCAUGCAGGAACACACAGAUGAGAGGAUGUGUCUUCAGGAGCAAGGGAUUUUGAAACAUAUUAAGAAAUCAGAAAUAAUCGACUUCAAAGUGCCACACACCUUGAUGACGUGCACAUCAGUGGGCAUUGAUUUUGUGACUUUGCCAAGUACACAGAAUGAAAAUCUUCCUUUUAUGGCGGGGGUAGGGGAUCAUUAUCUUGAGGACAUGUCACAUGAAGCAAGUGGAAAGGUGAAAGUCGCCCCUUCCUCCCACCUGCACUGUGGAAAGUAGUUGAACCUGAGGGGCGAGAGAAGGAGAAGAAAGGCUGCAAUUUUCCCGGAGCCUUUGUGAUGAUUUGAAUAUCUAGGAUUUGAAUAUUCAUUCAUUCCAACCUAAAGUUCGUACAGUGUUGGGCAUGUCUCUUGCCGCCAGCUGUGUGGUGGGCAGUGUGGGGUGUGAAGCCUCGUAACGCCUGUACUGACUGACUGUGCCUGGGCUGCUGAUUGUCCGACUUCCUUCUCCAUCCCACUACAUGGAUGAAUACAGGUAAGGUGUGAACUUCGUAGUCUUCAGAACAAGCCUGAUAUACAAUGCAAUCUUUGCUGCUAUCAAAUGUGAUCUAAACAUCUUAACUCUUCAAUGAACACUGAUGAGUUCUGUGAUUAAUAUACUUUAGAGCAACACUAGGACACUUGAUGCAAGCUG